UAAGCAAAACUGACUUCGAGAUCGGGGCGACCCAAAACUGAUGUGUGAUCGAGGUCUAAAAAAUUGGGCUCAGGUGUAGUUUUGUGGGGUUGAAAGUGCAGAGGUGUUCCUCAAACAUUUUUAUCGAAAAUUAUGGGAGAAGUCGGUAGAACUGAAAAGAACCAUGGAGGACGUGGGUGAGAGUGUGUAAACAGAAACUUCUUUCAUCGUCGUGGAAGAACUUGGAUCUCAGUGAAAUUUGAGGAUGGCUUUAAGUAUCCUUUCAAUCAGUCCUAAUCACAAACCACAGCAUUUUCGAAGCUUCUAGGCGAAUUCCCAUAAAUUUCGGUCAAAAUAACUCCAAUCAGGAGUCUUAAUGGCAAUCUAAAAGCCUCGAGAUUUGCCCUUUAAAUUGCCAGUUCUAAUCCGAGGCCUGAGCAAACUGGCACCAUGUUGUUUUUCCAAGUUAUCUUCGCGAUCGGGUUUCUGAAUGGCAUCCAAUGCUAUCGAGGAAAAGUUUGCAACGAGACUGAUGAAUGUGAUCAGAAUGAGACCUGUCAUUUCAUCCAUUCCUUGAUCGCUAUUUGCAUUCAUGACGAAGACUGGCGUCAGAUCUUGGCGAAUCCAGACCACCCUGCCAAUCCCAUUAGGCAAUUGCCACCAAAUGAAUCCAAUUCUUUGGACACCUUAAAUAAUAUAUUAGAGCCAUUGUAUGACGAUGAUGCAGAAGAGGAUAUCAAAGAGGAACAAGUUGUGUUUGCCGAUGAUGGACAAGGACAAGGACAGAUACCAACUGAGGGCGUUACUUUGGAAAACGAUGAAACUGCACUUACAAUGGAUUUGGUCGAGGCCAAUCCGGAUAUCUAUCAAGGUUCCUUCUUCACCGGUGAAAACCAAACCGAGUUGGUUGCCAAUUGAAAUUAGACAGAAUCUUGCGAAAUACAAGACGCGUGAUGCAUU